rnacentral:lncRNA from 1 species
AUGGAUCAACCCCAAUACCCUCUAGGAUCAAACCCAAUACGCCCUAGUGUCCUCUGUCAUGGAUCAACCCCAAUACCCUCUAGGAUCAACCCAACACCCUCUAGGAUCAACCCCAAUACCCUCUAGUGUCCUCUGUCAUGGAUCAACCCCAAUACCCUCUAGGAUCAACCCCAAUUGCCCCUAGGAUCAACCCCAACACCCUCUAGGAUCAACCCCAAUACCCCCUAGUGUCCUCUGUCAUGGAUCAACCCCAAUACCCUCUAGUGUCCUCUGUCAUGGAUCAACCCCAAUACGCCCUAGUGUCCUCUGUCAUGGAUCAACCCCAAUACCCUCUAGGAUCAACCCAACACCCUCUAGGAUCAACCCCAAUACCCUCUAGUGUCCUCUGUCAUGGAUCAACCCCAAUUCCCCCUAGGAUCAACCCCAACACCCUCUAGGAUCAACCCCAACACCCUCUAGGAUCAACCCCAACACCCUCUAGGAUCAACCCCAACACCCUCUAGGAUCAACCCCAACACCCUCUAGGAUCAACCCCAAUACCCUCUAGGAUCAACCCAACACCCUCUAGGAUCAACCCCAAUACCCUCUAGUGUCCUCUGUCAUGGAUCAACCCCAAUACCCUCUAGGAUCAACCCCAAUUGCCCCUAGGAUCAACCCCAACACCCUCUAGGAUCAACCCCAAUACCCCCUAGUGUCCUCUGUCAUGGAUCAACCCCAAUACCCUCUAGUGUCCUCUGUCAUGGAUCAACCCCAAUACCCCCUAGUGUCCUCUGUCAUGGAUCAACCCCAAUACCCUCUAG